rnacentral:rRNA from 1 species
GAUGAACGCUGGCGGCGUGCCUAAUACAUGCAAGUCGAGCGAACAGACGAGGAGCUUGCUCCUCUGACGUUAGCGGCGGACGGGUGAGUAACACGUGGAUAACCUACCUAUAAGACUGGGAUAACUUUGGGAAACCGGAGCUAAUACCGGAUAAUAUAUUGAACCGCAUGGUUCAAUAGUGAAAGACGGUUUUGCUGUCACUUAUAGAUGGAUCCGCGCCGCAUUAGCUAGUUGGUAAGGUAACGGCUUACCAAGGCGACGAUGCGUAGCCGACCUGAGAGGGUGAUCGGCCACACUGGAACUGAGACACGGUCCAGACUCCUACGGGAGGCAGCAGUAGGGAAUCUUCCGCAAUGGGCGAAAGCCUGACGGAGCAACGCCGCGUGAGUGAUGAAGGUCUUCGGAUCGUAAAACUCUGUUAUUAGGGAAGAACAAAUGUGUAAGUAACUAUGCACGUCUUGACUGUACCUAAUCAGAAAGCCACGGCUAACUACGUG